AAUGGGCGGAGCUUCUUCGGUGACGUUGCGGGGUUGCUGCGGCUGUGUGUGUUUGUGUGUGUGUGUGUAUUUGUGUGUGUGUGUGUGUCACCCCGGCGACACGACGAAGCUCCACGCACGUUUUCUCAGCCGUGGGUCCUUCCAAACAGCCGGGUCAGAUACGCUCCAGGAUCCGGCAGUGAGAACAGUCCAACCGCCAAAAGACGGCAAGAGAAAGAAUCCCAUGGCUCGGCGUCUCAACUUGUCCGAGUGAAGAGCGUUUUUUCUUCCGACUUGCAAGUUUUUCUUGUUUUUCCAGCCAUCUUUGAGGUGACGACUGGCCAGAAAGGAUACAUCCCCUGCAAGGAUGAGCUGUCUGCACGUCUCCAGUGGCAGCUGGUAACUUCUGUCCAGGACUGAGAAUGAAGAAAGAAAGACAACAAUUCAAGCUGCAAGCAGCGAUGGACGGGACCACUUUGGCUGCUGCCCCCGCGACCCAAGCCCAGGAGAAGAGGUUCUACGAGCCUGGCUGCCCUGGUGGAACCAUUGUUGUAGGGUACAUGAGACUCCUGGGAUGAAAGGAGGAUCAUGUGCCUCUCAGUCCUCUCCAUGGAGGACGUGGAAGACAUCUACCUAUUUGGAACCAUGAUCACGCGGCACCUGCUGAUAGGGCUGGGCAUGUAUGAAGGAACACAAGAAUGAAGGAACACAAGAAUGAAGGAACACAAGAAUGUAGGAACACAAGAAUGAAGGAACACAAGAAUGUAGGAACACAAGAAUGUAGGAACACAAGAAUGAAGGAACACCAGAAUGUAGGAACAAAAAAAUGUAGGAAGACAAGUAUGUAGGAACACAAGUAACUAGGAACACAUGUAGGAACACAAGAAUGUAGGAACACAAGUAUGUAGGAACACAAGUAUGUAGGAACACAAGUAUGUAGGAACACAAGAAUGUAGGAACACAAGUAUGUAGGAACACAAGUAUGUAGGAACACAAGAAUGUAGGAACACAAGUAUGUAGGAACACAAGUAUGUAGGAACACAAGAAUGUAGGAACACAAGAAUGUAGGAACACCAGAAUGUAGGAACACAAGUAUGUAGGAACACAAGUAACUAGGAACACAAGUAUGUAGGAACACAAGUAACUAGGAACACAAGUAUGUAGGAACACAAGUAACUAGGAACACAAGUAUGUAGGAACAAAAAAAUGUAGGAACACAAGUAUGUAGGAACACAAGUAUGUAGGAACACAAGUAACUAGGAACACAAGAAUGUAGGAACACAAGUAUGUAGGAACACAAGUAACUAGGAACACCAGUAUGUAGGAACACAAGAAUGUAGGAACACAAGUAACUAGGAACACAAGUAUGUAGGAACACAAGAAUGUAGGAACACAAGAAUGAAGGAACACCAGAAUGUAGGAACAAGUAUGUAGGAACACAAGUAUGUAGGAACACAAGUAUGUAGGAACACAAGAAUGUAGGAACACAAGAAACUAGGAACACAAGUAACUAGGAACACAAGUAUGUAGGAACACAAGUAUGUAGGAACACAAGAAUGUAGGAACACCAGAAUGUAGGAACAAAAAAAUGUAGGAACACAAGUAUGUAGGAACACAAGUAACUAGGAACACAAGUAUGUAGGAACACAAGUAUGUAGGAACACAUGUAUGUAGGAACACAUGUAUGUAGGAACACAAGUUACUAGGAACACAAGUAACUAGGAACACAAGUAUGUAGGAACACAAGUAACUAGGAACACAAGAAUGUAGGAACACAAGAAUGUAGGAACACAAGUAACUAGGAACACAAGAAUGUAGGAACACAAGAAUGUAGGAACACCAGUAUGUAGGAACACCAGUAUGUAGGAACACCAGUAUGUAGGAACACAAGAAUGUAGGAACAGAAGUAUGUAGGAACACAAGAAUGUAGGAACACAAGAAUGUAGGAACACAAGAAUGUAGGAACACAAGAAUGUAGGAACACAAGAAUGUAGGAACACCAGUAUGUGGGAACACCAGUAUGUAGGAACACCAGUAUGUAGGAACACCAGUAUGUAGGAACACAAGUAACUAGGAACACAAGUAUGUAGGAACACAAGAAUGUAGGAACACAAGAAUGUAGGAACACAAGAAUGUAGGAACACAAGUAUGUAGGAACACAAGAAUGUAGGAACACAAGUAUGUAGGAACACAAGAAUGUAGGAACACAAGAAUGUAGGAACACAAGAAUGUAGGAACACAAGUAUGUAGGAACACAAAAAUGUAGGAACACAAGAAUGUAGGAACACAAAAAUGUAGGAACACAAGAAUGUAGGAACACAAGUAUGAAGGAACACCAGUAUGAAGGAACACCAGUAUGAAGGAACACAAGUAUGUAGGAACACCAGAAUGUAGGAACACCAGAAUGUAGGAACACCAGUAUGAAGGAACAAGAAUGUAGGAACACAAGAAUGUAGGAACACAAGAAUGUAGGAACACCAACAUGAAGGAAAACCAGGUUGGACUCCUUGCCAUGACAAUAAGUGCACAGAGACAGAUAAGACAGAGACAGAUAAGACAGAGACAGAUAAGACAGAGAGACAGAUAAGACAGAGACAGAUAAGACAGAGAGACAGAUAAGACACAGAGACAGAUAAGACAGAGAGACAGAUAAGACACAGAGACAGAUAAGACACAGAGACAGAUAAGACAGAGAGACAGAUAAGACAGAGAGACAGAUAAGACACAGAGACAGAUAAGACAGAGAGACAGAUAAGACAGAGAGACAGAUAAGACAGAGAGACAGAUAAGACAGAGACAGAUAAGACAGAGACAGAUAAGACAGAGACAGAUAAGACAGAGAGACAGAUAAGACACAGAGACAGAUAAGACAGAGAGACAGAUAAGACAGAGAGACAGAUAAGACAGACAGAUAAGACAGAGACAGAUAAGACAGAGAGACAGAGACAGAUAAGACAGAGACAGAUAAGACAGAGAGACAGAUAAGACAGAGAGACAGAUAAGACACAGAGACAGAUAAGACAGAGACCGAUAAGACAGAGACAGAUAAGACAGAGAGACAGAUAAGACAGAGAGACAGAUAAGACACAGAGACAGAUAAGACAGAGAGACAGAUAAGACAGAGAGACAGAUAAGACACAGAGACAGAUAAGACAGAGAGACAGAUAAGACACAGAGACAGAUAAGACAGAGAGACAGAUAAGACAGAGAGACAGAUAAGACAGAGACAGAUAAGACAGAGACAGAUAAGACAGAGAGACAGAUAAGACAGAGAGACAGAUAAGACACAGAGACAGAUAAGACAGAGACAGAUAAGACAGAGAGACAGAUAAGACAGAGACAGAUAAGACAGAGACAGAUAAGACAGAGAGACAGAUAAGACAGAGAGACAGAUAAGACAGAGAGACGGAUAAGACAGAGAGACAGAUAAGACAGAGACAGAUAAGACAGAGACAGAUAAGACAGAGAGACAGAUAAGACAGAGAGACAGAUAAGACAGAGAGACAGAUAAGACAGAGAGACAGAUAAGACAGAGACAGAUAAGACAGAGAGACAGAUAAGACAGAGAGACAGAUAAGACAGAGAGACAGAUAAGACAGAUAGACAGAUAAGACACAGAGACAGGUAAGACAGAGACAGAUAAGACAGAGAGACAGAUAAGACAGAGAGACAGAUAAGACAGAGAGACAGAUAAGACAGAUAAGACAGAGAGACAGAUAAGACAGAGAGACAGAUAAGACAGAUAAGACAGAGAGACAGAUAAGACAGAGAGACAGAGAUGUUCUAGCCCACAGACACAUUUUCUCCUCUAGAUUUGUCCCACUGAGUAUAAAUAAUUGACUUGACCUUGUCUAUACUGCUGACCUCUGUAGCUCCAAAGAAUAAACACAUUACUACUUUGUCUCCA